CUGGGCCUGCGCAGGGGCUCCCCGCGCAAUUCCACAGGAUGACAGCUUUGUGGGACACUCUGCGCCUGCGCAAGGCCUUGCCGUUUAAUUCCAUAGGCUGACAGAGCCUCGUGGGAUGCUCUGCGCGUGCGCAGGAUGUUCCCGCGCAUCUUUCGCUCGCCGCCAAGCCUCGCGGGAUGCUGUGUGCGCGUGGUCUUCCCACCGAAGGACAGGCACCAGAGCGGCCGUGAGGGGAGUGUGAGGACGCGUUGAAACACGAUUUGGAAAUCAGAGUGAACAAGAACGCAUCGGGCUAGAAAAAGGAUCGGAUGGUAACAAGGCUCAUGCAUUAUCUUGACACCCAACAUGGGGCCAAAGACAGCAAAAGGCCCCACUUGGUGCCUGUUCCAGGACUGCAGAUGCUGUGGUGUCAGCACAGAGGCACAUUUGUCCAUGAGGCCUCUUGGCUGAGUCUGAUCCUGGAAUUGCUCUGGACUGAGGUGAGCAGCCUUGGCUAGGUUUCACCUCCUCCCUGGGGACAGUCUGUGUACAGUGACUGGUGGUUGAGGGGGUACAAAGGCUCUCAUUUGGGAUAACUGAAGGGCAUCCUAGCUCCAGAGUCCUGUCUGAAGGCCGCAGAGGCCUGGGCUGCUGUUGCAUGUAGCUCACCUUUCCUU